rnacentral:rRNA from 1 species
UACGUAGGGGGGCAAGCGUUGUCCGGAAUCAUUGGGCGUAAAGAGCGUGUAGGCGGCCAGACAGGUCCGUUGUGAAAACUCGAGGCUCAACCUCGAGACGCCGAUGGAAACCGUCUGGCUAGAGUCCGGAAGAGGAGAGUGGAAUUCCUGGUGUAGCGGUGAAAUGCGCAGAUAUCAGGAAGAACACCCGUGGCGAAGGCGGCUCUCUGGGACGGUACUGACGCUGAGACGCGAAAGCGUGGGGAGCGAACAGG